AUCCCAUGAUGAGGACACUUAUGAAGUAACUUCUUGAAUCGCUCCCAAGCCUCAUAUAAAGACUCAUCAUCCAAUUGUUGGAAAAUUGUGAUCUCGUUCCUCAACUU
rnacentral:snoRNA from 1 species